GACGAACGCUGGCGGCGUGCUUAACACAUGCAAGUCGAACGGUAAGGCCCUUCGGGGUACACGAGUGGCGAACGGGUGAGUAACACGUGGGUGAUCUGCCCUGCACUUCGGGAUAAGCCUGGGAAACUGGGUCUAAUACCGGAUAGGACCACUGCCUGCAUGGGUGGUGGUGGAAAGCUUUUGCGGUGUGGGAUGGGCCCGCGGCCUAUCAGCUUGUUGGUGGGGUGAUGGCCUACCAAGGCGACGACGGGUAGCCGGCCUGAGGGGGUGACCGGCCACACUGGGACUGAGAUCAGGCCCAGACUCCUACGGGAGGCAGCAGUGGGGAAUAUUGCACAAGGGGCGCAAGCCUGAUGCAGCGACGCCGCGUGAGGGAUGACGGCCUUCGGGUUGUAAACCUCUUUCAGCACCGACGAAGCGCAAGUGACGGUAGGUGCAGAAGAAGGACCGGCCAACUACGUGCCAGCCGCCGCCGUAA
rnacentral:rRNA from 1 species